GCCAGGCCGGGUGGCUCAUGCCUGUAAUCCCAGCACGUUGGGAGGCUGAGGCAGAAGAGUGGCGUGAACCCAGGAGGCAGAGCUUUCAGUGAGCCAAGAUCACACCACUGCACUCCAGCCUGGGCAACAGAGUGAGACUCCAUGUNNNNNNNNNNACAUGGAGUCUCACUCUGUUGCCCAGGCUGGAGUGCAGUGGUGUGAUCUUGGCUCACUGAAAGCUCUGCCUCCUGGGUUCACGCCACUCUUCUGCCUCAG
rnacentral:SRP_RNA from 1 species